AUGUCUGUCUUUGUCUCUGUCUCUCUCGGUCUCCCUCUCUGUCUGUCUCCCUCUCUCUCUGUCUCCAUCUCUCUCUCUCUGUCUCUCUCCCUCUCCCUCUGUCUCUCUGUCUGUCUCUGCCCCUCUGUCCCUGUCUCUCUGUCUGUCUCUGCCCCUCUGUCUCUGUCUCUCCCUCCCUCCUUCUCUGUCUCUCUGUCUCCAUCUGUCUCUCUCUGUCUCUGUCCCUCUGUCUCUGUCUCUCUGCCUGUCUCCUCCCCUCCCUCUCUCUCUCUCCCUCUCUCCCUCCCUGUCUCUCUCUGUCUCCAUCUCUCUCUGUCCCUGUCCCUCUGUCUCUCUGUCUGUCUGUCUCUGUCCCUCCCUCUCUGCCUCUGUCUGUCUCUGUCUCUCUGUCUCUGUCUCUCCCUCUGUCUCCCUCUCUCUCUCUCUGUCUCUGUCUCUCUAUGUCUCUCCCCCUCUCUCUCUCUCUCUCCGUCUCUCUGUCUCUCUCUGUCUCUCUCUGUCUCUCUCUCCGUCUCUCUGUCUCUGUCUCUCUCUCUCUUUCUCUCCCUCCUUCCCUCUCUCUCUGUCUCCCUCUCUGUCUGUCUGUCUCUGUCUGUCCGUCCGUCUGUCUCUCCCUCUCUCUGUCUGUCUCUCUCUGUCUCCCUCUCUCUGUCUCUGUCUGUCUGUCUGUCUCUGUCCGUCUCUGUCUCUGUCUCUGUCUCUCUCUCUCUCUCUGUCUGUCUCUGUCUCUCUCUCUCUGUCUCUGUCUGUCUCCCUCUCUGUCUCCCUCUCUGUCCCUCUCUCUCUGUCUCUCUGUCUGUCUGUCUCUGUCUGUCUGUCCGUCUCUGUCUCUCUCUCUCUCUUUCUCUCUCCGUCUCUCUCUGUCUUCCCCCACCAGCCCAGGCUCUGCUGCCUGCCCUCCAUUCAUGGAGAGCUCCUCUUCUCCCCACCUGGCCCCCAUCACCCACCUUCCCGAGAAAGAUCUCCCCCAGGGAGGUGGGCCGACGCCUCUCCCUCCACAGCCCACCCUUUGACCCCCUUGGGCAUCCCCCCUUUUCCUUUCCUGUCCCUGGAGGGGCGCCCGGACGCCGGGGGCCUCCACUUCUCUCCUGGCCCCCGAGGCUGGCUCCCGAGCUCACAAGGCACACGAGCUGCUCUCUCCAGCCUCCCAGCCGUUGCCUUUUCUCAAGCCCAGACCCCUGUGCCCGCCGGGCCCUCCCUGUCGUGGGGCUCCCUUCCCUCCCAGGCUUCAGGAUGCCGCUUUGUGCCUUCCAGUUGGGGCCACCCCUCAGUCUCCCGCCUCCCUGUGGGCAUCCCCACGGCUCUGGCCAGGCAGGCCCUCUUCUCCCGCAGAAGACACCCAGACCCAGCCGGCCCCUCUCUGCCGAGCUCCUGUCCACCGUGGCCAGCAGGCUUCCAGACGUCUCUGCUGAGAGGCUCAAGGCGUGUUCUGCUCUCCUCUGGCCCAGGCCCUGGUAA
rnacentral:lncRNA from 1 species